rnacentral:lncRNA from 1 species
AAAAGAAAUAACUUGAUUUUUAGAAAUCAAUCUUCAAAUCUUCUGAUCAGUUCGUGAUUAGACAAGCUCGGGACUUGAAAAGGGAGUGGACUGAGUUCUGUAGUAGACUGAGUUCUGUAGUUCUAAGUGAACUCUUUUUUAGCUUUGCUUUUUUAUUAUUUAUUUUUAGUUUUUUUAGUUUUUGGUAUGACGGUCUGUAACUUAUUCGAGGCCGAAUUGCCUCAACUUCUGUAUCUACAUUCAUUUCUUAUAUAAAUGAAGCGGAUAGCGUGCUUUCUUAAAAAAAUA